rnacentral:rRNA from 1 species
AUUAAAGUUGUUGCAGUUAAAAAGCUCGUAGUUGGAUUUCUGGUUUGACAUGCCUGGCCCGCCACGGUUACGUGUGUGAGUGCCGGCGCGUGUCUGCCAUCCUUCUGGAAAACGUGUCUACCCUUCACUGGGCCGGAUACGCGAUCCAAAUCAUUUACUUUGAAAAAAUUAGAGUGUUUAAAGCAGGCUUUUUGCUAUGAAUACAUUAGCAUGGAAUAAUAAUUUAGGACUUUGGCCCUAUUUUGUUGGUUUCUAGGACUGAAGUAAUGAUUGAUAGGGAUAGUUGGGGGUGCUCGAAUUCAGCGGCCAGAGGUGAAAUUCUUGGAUUCGCUGAAGACGAACUCAUGCGAAAGCAUUCACCAAGGAUGUCUUCUUUAAUCAAGAACGAAAGUUGGGGGAUCGAAGACGAUCAGAUACCGUCGUAGUCUCAACCAUAAACUAUGCCGACUAGGGAUCAGCGAACGUUGAAUUUUUGACUUCGUUGGCACCUUAUGAGAAAUCAAAGUCUUUGGGUUCCGGGGGGAGUAUGGUCGCAAGGCUGAAACUUAAAGGAAUUGACGGAAGGGCACCACCAGGAGUGGAGCCUGCGGCUUAAUUUGACCCAACACGGGAAAACUUACCAGGUCCGGACAUAGUGAGGAUUGACAGAUUGAAGAUCUUUCUUGAUUCUAUGGGUGGUGGUGCAUGGCCGUUCUUAGUUGGUGGAGUGAUUUGUCUGGUUAAUUCCGUUAACGAACGAGACCUCGACCUGCUAAAUAGUUUCAUAAAUCCUUCGGGAUUUGCUGUAGACUUCUUAGAGGGACUAUCGGUGUGUAGCCGAUGGAAGUUCGAGGCAAUAACAGGUCUGUGAUGCCCUUAGAUGCCCUGGGCCGCACGCGCGCUACACUGAUGCGUUCAUCGAGCUUACAACCUUGACUGAAAGGUCUGGGUAAUCUUUUGAAAUCGCAUCGUGCUGGGGAUAGAUGAUUGUAAUUAUUCAUCUUCAACGAGGAAUUCCUAGUAAACGCAAGUCAUUAGCUUGCAUUGAUUACGUCCCUGCCCUUUGUACACACCGCCCGUCGCUGCUACCGAUUGAGCGAUUAGAUGAACCUCAGGGACUGCUGCUCUUGGUUGGGUUUCCUUCCUUGGGUUGGCGGGAACUGAUGUGAAUCUACUCGCUUAGAGGAAGCAAAAGUCGUAACAAGGUU